GUUUUCAUAGCUCAGUUGGUUAGAACACUUGUUUCAUAAACAGGAGGUCUCGAGUUUGAUUCACAAUGAUCAUA
rnacentral:tRNA from 1 species